rnacentral:lncRNA from 1 species
UCAGAUUUUAUUAUACUGAAAUACAAGCUACAUUUUUACAAAAUAGAAAUUCUUUGUGAGUGGAUUGACUUAAUUUUAUUUCUGUAUAAGCUAAAUAUGUUGAUCUGUUUUAUGAACAUGUAUUUUAUAAAAAUGGUCACAAUAUAUUUUUUAAGUUAACUGAUUUAUUGAGGGAGGAGGAGAGAGUUGACCAAAGUCUACAUGCAUAGACAGUCCUAAAAGCGUAUCUCAAACAUGAAGAUGUAAAUUUGAGAGUUAAUGAUACAAAUUUCAGCAAAAACAUUUUACAGGCAGAGAGUGUUUUGGUGUUUAUAAAAGCUGAACUCCUUUUGAAGGGCUUUUGUACAAAUACACAUAGCAAAUAGCUGAGGCUAUUUUCUAAGGUGUUUGGCUUAGUGAACCUUUUUUACAUCUUUAUAGUUUUAAAGUCAAAUACAUAGCAGUCUUUAUUUGGGUGUAUGUUAUCACAGAGGAAUAAAAAUCAGUAAUGGGACUGGGAACAGUAUACCCACUAAGUUAAAUUAAGUCAUUGGUUAAAACACCAAAUUAUUCAAAACCAUUUAAGAGAUAUGCCCCACUAAAUUCCCUCUGAAUUUAGUCAUUUACAGAUGUUGUGUUUCGUAUUCCUGUUCUCACCUUUGUGCCUGCUCCUUUGCAAACAUUCUUUUCACACCAAAUUCUUAGAACUGAAUCAGAACUGCAGAAAAUCCAACACCUUUUCUCUCCUCUGCACAUGGCUACAAAAAUUCUAAUAGUAACAAGAUAGUGUGAAAGACAUACCUCUAUAUACUUUUUACUAGCAUUGCAUUUGCAAACUUACUUGAAAUUACUUUUUUAAAAAAACAGGAUUUCUAUGGCGUCCUGUCCUUCAGGGUUCCUUCUAAGGUAUGAAUUGCUAAGAAUUUUCUUUUCAGCUGCCUAUAUUUCAUCAGCCUUGAUAAUUAAUCAUCUUUUAUACUAAAUUUGCCAUAUACUGACAAAGUCAAAGACCUGUAAUAAACUAGACAAGCAAAAACUUUCUCUUAGCGGGACUAAUGCUGUUAAAGGCAAAUGGUUUCCUUUCCAUUAAAACCAUAUUCCUGCCUGUUAAGUUACUGAGGUAACUCCAAAAAAUUAAGCAGUAAAAAAGAUCUCCAUGGGAUGUGCCCUAACACAAAUUCUACUCGGCCUACUCAACCAGCACCGUAAUUUUUAACAUUCACUUAGCACCUAUGGGUAAUUAAACAGGCAUCAUCGGAGAAUAUUCCAGUUGCUAAAUGGUACCCCAUUAUUAAUUAGUACUAUGCCAUGGCUCUCUCUGAGUAUUUCUCUGCUCAGUUCUAGUAAUAUCUUAGCAGUGAUAAAAGUGUUUUGCCCAAAUAGUUAUUCUCAUUUUGUUUCACUUUGAUUGAAACAAACAUUUGAUUUUCUUUCAUCAUGUGCUGUCAUACGGUGAUAUGGAUUCAAUAACUUAAUCAUAAUGACCCCCCAAGAUUAAGAAGAAAAAAAGCAUCAUUCAGCAUCUCUCCUCUACCUUUUAAUUUCUGUGUUAAGAGGGAAACAAAACCUUCAAAGG